rnacentral:rRNA from 1 species
UACAGAGGUCUCAAGCGUUGUUCGGAUUCAUUGGGCGUAAAGGGUGCGUAGGCGGCGCGGUAAGUCGGGUGUGAAAUCUUGGAGCUUAACUCCGAAACUGCAUUCGAUACUGCCGUGCUUGAGGACUGGAGAGGAGACUGGAAUUUACGGUGUAGCGGUGAAAUGCGUAGAUAUUCGGAGGAACACCAGUGGCGAAGGCGGCCCACUGGCUCGACACUGACGCUGAGGUGCGAAAGCGUGGGGAGCAAACAGG